rnacentral:lncRNA from 9 species
GAUGGGUGAGGAAAAGACAGAGCUUGUGGGAUCAGGUCCUUUGUUACCCUGUGGGUUACAGUCACAGAAUUUGUCCUUACAGGUAAAGAUGAACUUGGUGCUGAGACCGUGUCCAGGCUCCUUUCAGCCCAGGGUUGCCCAGGAUCAAUAGCACUGAGUGGCCAGCUAGGCAGGCAGCCGUGAUGAUUUCACACAGAAUAUUCCAAGAACUGUUGGCAUUGAAGAUGCUGCACAUGGAAAGAAAUAGAGCAACUGUGCUGAAAGUGUAAAAACUGAGGAAGCAGCUGAUGGCUUUGAUGGCCCUCAUGUGAGCCUCCAUGCUGGGGCCCCUGAAGCCAGUGGCAUUGCUCUCCAUCCAUUGGGGGUGUCUCUUGAGAGAGACCAUCAGCAGGGUGGCUGCAAGGAUGAACAUGCUCAGAGGGAUGAAGAUACCCAGGUAAAGCGUGAGAAUCAAGUUGACCACGUUGGUCCCAGAGAAGUACAGCUUCUCAGUGGAGUUGGAGGAGGGGCUAGGGAUGGAGUUCUUUACGUGCACAUUGACGAUAUCUGUAGAGAAGGGAAAACUAGAGCAGAAGGAGAACAACGACAGCCUCAAGAGCCAAGGCAACAGCACCGGCAUUAUCCCCUUCAUCGCAGCGAUCAAAGGGUUGACAGACGUAACUAAAGAAAACAGUCUAGGUGCUCUUGAAAGAAACACCUGUAAGAACAAAGACCUGGGAUGUGAAAGAUGUGAGAUCAAAACCUAUCGGACUGUCAAGAAAACAAAAAUGUCAACAAGGUUUGUUUUGGUUGUUCAUAAAAUAAGCAGUUGUGUAUUUAAGUGAAAAAUCUGCCCAGGACAUCAAAUUCUUCAGACUCAAAUUGUGAAAGAGUGCCUUUUGAAUGUAGCAGAAAGGAUGUGUCCUAAAAAGAUAGAAGCAUGUACAAAUAUAAAUGUAACCAGAAAUACUGUUGCUCAACAUCCUGGAAAUAUAGCCAGGAAAUUAAAAGAUAAAUUGUGUGAACAAGUCUUAAACGUUGUGACAUUUGCUAGUGCAGCUACUCAGAUGUAAUAAUUAGCUCUAUUUAUUCACUGUGGGUUUGAGAAUUUCUAGGACUGAAAAUAUUUUGGACAGUGUGCCCACGACAGGCACAACACUAGGAAGUAAUUAGGGAAUUCAUUUUUGGAAUAGAGGAAACUUUCAAACAAUUUUAUGGAGAUGAUGAAGGGAUAUGUGGAAAGUAACAUAAUGUCUUUUCUAUCAAAGGAAUCUUGGUUGCUCUAUUUUGCUCUGGUUUUGGCUGAAACGCCUUCCUGUGACCGCCCCCCCUUCCUUCCUCUCCCAGUAACAAUUUGUUUCAAAUUAGCCAACCAAGAAGGAUGUGCGCCCUGACCUGACCAAUGGGAAGGGGACAGGUACAUGACCUGCGUUAGGGAUAAAUAGGGAGGGUCUUUUCUUCUUUGCACGCACUUUUUGAGUACCUGUGCCCUUCUGCAGAAGUAAAGAGCCUUGUCGAGAUCUCCCCAUGUUCAUGUGUCUCAAUUUCUGGCACUGACGAUCCAAGCCGUCUCCCCAACAGAGAGAUAAGGCUAAUAUUGGACUUGCCAUUAAACUUAAGUUCCAUGUUGCAAGUUAUAUAAGGACACAGCCUUUAGAUCUACCCAUUUGCAUUAUUCAGCAGGAAUUGCUUUCUGCCAGAAGUUAAAAAUGGAACACGUCACAGACACAGAGCUCACCACCUGUAAGCUGGAUCUCUUCCUGGCGCUUGGGCCGCAGAGCAUCCUGGGCAAUUUGAUGAAGUGGACACAACACAGAUGUCUCCUCGCUGAGGUAGGUUGGGAGGCUUUGUCACUGCUAAAGCCAAGGAGAAUUGUUGAACUGUUGAAAUGAACUCAUUCAUAUCUUCUAAGGUGGGGGGCGGGGGCAAAAAAACCAACUUUGCUUGUGCUGAGCAGCAAAAAUUGUCAUCAUGUAAGUGGUCUUUGAGGUUGACAAACACCUUGAAUUUCCCCUCAAAGGCAUCCCCAGGAGUUAUAAAACAUUGUGGAGACAGUUAUCUGGCAGUGUUUUCUGGUCCUCUUCUUUUCUGGGCUAAGAAUAGUUUCUAGAACUGUAACUGGUGGCCUGAAUGUCAUGAUGGGGACAGUGACACUGAGUUCCCAAAGUGACCUGCUGAUCUCAGACUCUGAAGAUAAACUCCCACUGCUCUGUGCUCCUUUAUCGAUUCUUACCGACAAUGUGAAAGAUGAUCCACAGGAUCAUACAGGAUGGAAAAUUUAGCGUCGUGACCCUGGAGAGUCCAACUCCUGAAAAUACCUUAGCGAGUGUGCCAAGAUUUUUGAAACUCUUGGGCAAUACCUAUGUUUUUCCACAGCUCUUUUCCAAUAUUAAACGUCAUUCCUAGUCAAAACUACUUGUCAAACUUAAUUCUGUGUUCACUUCAAACUUGAUCCAAAAUUUAACAAUGGCAUAUCGAUGCCAAAGAAAAAGUUGUAGAUUUCUGCUUCCAAAAGUCAACACAUUGUAAAAGAAAUGUUGG